UUGUGCUUGCUUCAGCUGCACAAAUAUUGCAAAUUGGAAUGAUAAAGAGAAGUUAUCAUGGCCUCUGUGCAAGGAUGACAUGCAAAUGAAGUGUCUGAUAUUUUU